UAUUGGGCAAUGGGCGCAAGCCUGACCCAGCAACGCCGCGUGAGGGAAGAAGGCUUUCGGGUUGUAAACUUCUUUUCUCAGGGACGAAGCAAGUGACGGUACCUGAGGAAUAAGCCACGGCUACCUACGUGCCAGCAGCCGCGGUAAUACGUAGGCGGCAAGCGUUAUCCGGAUUUACUGGGUGGAAAGGGCGCGGAGGCGGGGACGCAAGUCAGAUGUGAAAACCACGGGCUCAACCUGUGGCCUGCAUUUGAAACUGUGUUUCUUGAGUACUGGAGAGGCAGACGGAAUUCCUAGUGUAGCGGUGAAAUGCGUAGAUAUUAGGAGGAACACCAGUGGCGAAGGCGGUCUGCUGGACAGCAACUGACGCUGAGGCGCGAAAGCGUGGGGAGCAAACAGG
rnacentral:rRNA from 1 species